ACGACGACGACGACGACGAGGACGGUGACGACGAGGACGGCGACGAGGACAAUCUCAGCAUAGUGGUUUUGUUACGAUUCGAUCUAUCCGCCACGUCCCAACGUUUGGCCUUUUCGACCGAGAUAUUCGUACGAGGGGAACGAGACGCAAUUUCUUGCUUGCUUCGCAAUAACGAUGAUAUAUUGUGGAAGGUCGAGAAAAUUCUCAACGAGGAAGGAUAUAUACGACGUCAACUUUUCUCCCAUCCCAAAAUUUGUACUUGAAAGAAAAAGAGGAACAGAGGAAAUAUAUAAGACACUUGUAUCACCCGCAACGUUUUGAAAAGACAAUUUUCUUGGGAGAUAUGUUAUCAAAGAAAUACGCGAGAAAUGUGGUCAGAGAGGUGAAAGGGACGGAGAAGAAGAAGGUGAAGGAGGAAGUAGAAGGAGGAGGGGGAGGAGGUGGAGGA